GCAGAUCCACAGCAGUGGCCCUUUCGGCUCCACCAGUGCUCCCCCUACACACUGCAGGCUGGUGGGCAGCCUGGUUCCAGCCUCCACACGUGUGUGCAGGUCACACAUGGCCGAAUUGGUUCAAUCCAAACUGGGCCUGGUUUGGUUUGAACUUGGACCGGCCUCACUUUUGUGGGGGCCAGUCUGGUUCGAGCUCAAAUCGGCUGAACUGGGCCGGUUCUGCACAACCCUACUACAGACACAUUAAAAACCCUAAUUGCAUGUUGCAUUCUUCUUUUCCAUAUUUUGUUACUUCAAUUAAUGAAAUUGUGGAGUUUGUGGAGUUAUGCUUAUGCUACACCUACUAGACUGAAUGCCUUGGAUGAGAGUGUGGAGGCACUGUGAAGUUUGGAACAUACUCACCCUCACCGUACUCACCACGGGGAAAUAUGGACAGGUGGAGUGAGUCAAUAGAGAAGAGCUCCGAAUGGAAAGUUCUGGUCUCUCUGUGGGCUUACAUAAUCUUUUAUGGACUACUGGGAAAAGAAAAGAUCCGGUGAUACUGCCGCAUACCAUCAGAAACAGUCUUUUACACAUUUGGGAUAAAUAUAUAAAAAAGGGUUGAAUCAGGAAGGCCCCACUCUGAAUGCGUGUGUGUGCACACUGCCUUGAUACUGCCACCCAGAACAAAACUCAUCUCUGCUCACAGGUGGAAAAAACUCGAGGGACCACUACAGGAGAG